rnacentral:tRNA from 2 species
GUUUAAUUAGGUAAUUGUAGCCACCUACUGAUUUGCAUUCAAAAAAUAAACAUAAACUGCUGCUAAAUA